rnacentral:rRNA from 1 species
GAUGAACGCUGGCGGCGUGCCUAAUACAUGCAAGUCGAGCGAACAGACGAGGAUCUUGCUCCUCUGACGUUAACGGCGGAAGUAAGAGUAACACGUCGAUAACCUACCUAUAAGACUGGGAUAACUUCGUGAAACCGGAGCUAAUACCGGAUAAUAUAUGGAACCGCAUGGUUCAAUAGUUUAAGCCGGUUUUGCUGUCACUUAUGCAUGGAUCCGCGCUGCAUUAGCUAUUUCGUAAGGUAACGGCUUACCAAGGCGAUGCUGCGUAGCCGACCCGAGAGGGGGAACGGCCACUGUGGAGGUGAGACGCGGUACAGACUCCGACGGGAGGCCGCAGCAGGGACGGUUGCGAGAUGGGCGGAAGCCUGACGGAGCGACGGAGCGUGGGUGCAGCAGGGCUUCGGAUCGUAAAACUCUCUUAUUAGUGAAGAACGAAUGUGUAAGUAACUAUGCACGUCGUGACGGUACCUGAACAGAAAGCACCGGCUAACUACGUG